UUGCUCUGUGGGAUCAAUGGCGAACGGGUGAGUAACACGUGAGCAACCUGCCCCUGACUCUGGGAUAAGCGCUGGAAACGGCGUCUAAUACUGGAUAUGUGACGUGACCGCAUGGUCUGCGUUUGGAAAGAUUUUUCGGUUGGGGAUGGGCUCGCGGCCUAUCAGCUUGUUGGUGAGGUAAUGGCUCACCAAGGCGUCGACGGGUAGCCGGCCUGAGAGGGUGACCGGCCACACUGGGACUGAGACACGGCCCAGACUCCUACGGGAGGCAGCAGUGGGGAAUAUUGCACAAUGGGCGAAAGCCUGAUGCAGCCACGCCGCGUGAGGGAUGACGGCCUUCGGGUUGUAAACCUCUUUUAGCGGGGAAGAAGCGAAUGUGACGGUACCUGCUGAAAAUUCGCCUGCUAACUACAUGCCACCACCCGCGGUUAUACGUAGGGCGCAAGCGUUAUCCGGAAUUAUUGGGCGUAAAGAGCUCGUACGGGGUUUGUCGCGUCUGCUGUGAAAUCCCGAGGCUCAACCUCGGGCCUGCAGUGUCUACCGGCAGACUACAGUGCAGUAUGGGAGAUUGGAAUUCCUGGUGUAGCGGUGGAAUGCGCAGAUAUCAGGAGGAACACCGAUGGCUAAGGCAGAUCUCUGGUCCGUAACUGACCCUCAUGAGCGAAAGGGUG
rnacentral:rRNA from 1 species